rnacentral:rRNA from 1 species
UACGUAGGGUGCGAGCGUUAAUCGGAAUCACUGGGCGUAAAGGGCGCGUAGGCGGUUUUGUAAGUCGGGGGUGAAAUGCUGCGGCUCAACCGCAGCGCUGCCUUCGAGACUGCAAGACUGGAGCACGGUAGAGGCGGAUGGAAUUCCCGGUGUAGCGGUGGAAUGCGUAGAGAUCGGGGAGAACACCAAUGGCGAAGGCAGUCCGCUGGGCCGUUGCUGACGCUGAGGCGCGACAGCGUGGGGAGCAAACAGG